UACGAAGGGGGCUAGCGUUGCUCGGAAUCACUGGGCGUAAAGGGUGCGUAGGCGGGUCUUUAAGUCAGGGGUGAAAUCCUGGAGCUCAACUCCAGAACUGCCUUCGAUACUGGAGAGCUCGAGUCCGGGAGAGGUGAGUGGAACUGCGAGUGUAGAGGUGAAAUCGUAGAUAUUAGCAAGAACACCAGUGGCGAAGGCGGCUCACUGGCCCGGUACUGACGCUGAGGUGCGAAAGCGUGGGGAGCAAACAGG
rnacentral:rRNA from 1 species